AGGACGAACGCUGGCGGCGUGCUUAACACAUGCAAGUCGAGCGAGGCCCUCUCUUCGGAGAGGUGCCCUAGCGGCGAACGGGUGAGUAACACGUGGGCAACCUGCCCCUAGCACUGGGAUAAGCCCGGGAAACCGGGUCUAAUACCGGAUAUGACCUUCAAGGGCAUCCUCGAAGGUGUAAAGGAUUCUGGCUAGGGAUGGGCCCGCGGCCUAUCAGCUUGUUGGUGGGGUAAUGGCCCACCAAGGCAACGACGGGUAGCCGGCCUGAGAGGGCGACCGGCCACACUGGGACUGAGACACGGCCCAGACUCCUACGGGAGGCAGCAGUGGGGAAUAUUGCACAAUGGGCGAAAGCCUGAUGCAGCGACGCCGCGUGAGGGAUGACGGCCUUCGGGUUGUAAACCUCUUCAGCUCCGACGAAGCGAAGUGACGGUAGGAGCAGAAGAGCACCGGCCAACUACGUGCCAGCAGCCGCGGUAA
rnacentral:rRNA from 1 species